rnacentral:rRNA from 1 species
UCUUCAUACCACCCUGAAUGCACCCAAUGUCCUCUGGUUUCAGAAGCUAAGCAGGGUGGUGCCUGGUUAGUACAUGGAUGUGGGAGAAAGAUCUUCAGAGAAGACUGGUCAGAGAC